CCCACUCAGCCUCUCAGUCACAUAAGCCAUCUGAGAAACAGAGAGGUGGACAGCAGAUUUCAGAAGAAAUACUCAUGUGGCAGAGUUAGAUGUGUGAUGCAGAAAAGGACAACGCUUUGAUGAUGUUCUGGUCCAGUGAAAUAUCCUCAGGCAGCAGGAGGAGGAGCUCCCGUCUGAACCGUUUGGGCCCGGUUAGAAAGUGACAGGACCAAUCAGCAACAAGAGGCAGUACUUUCGGGCGCUGCAGAGCCACGAUGUCAGCAAGUAGCAACAAGAGGCCCGUGCAAUUAUGGCGGAAGACAUUAGCGUGGAUGCUGAAGCGCCAGUUUUAUCAGAACUUGACCACAUUUCCUCGUU